AUGCCUAUGGUUCUUCUACGCAAGUUUCAUCCCAAGGGCGGCACAAGAAUGGUUACUCCCAAACAUCAGAGUACCAGAUGUCUGAGCGUAAUGUUCCGCCAGCGACACUUGUUAUCCCCUGAGCCAGGUUCCGCUGGAGUGUACGGUGGCACGCAAGGGUACAUUCCGGAGGCGUCGAAGCUGGUUAAUUAUGGGCAGCAGAGCUACAAUCCUCCCGUGGCAUCAAAUGACCGGAGUUCCAGGAAGCAGAGUUACACCCAAGUUGAACCAUCAAGGGACUGGAGUUCUGGGCAGCAGAGUUACACCCCGGCUAAACCAUCAAGGGACUUGAGAUCCGGGCAGCAAGACUACACUACUGCCGAGCCUUCAAGCCAGUGGAGCUCGGGGCAACAGAGCUACACUCUAGUUGAACCUUCAAGGCAAUGGAGCUCCGAGCAGCAGGGCUAA
rnacentral:rRNA from 1 species